UCCGAACCAGUUGACACCAGCGGACCCAACCCUGAUCUGGUGGACUCAGGGUUGGCCUGUAACUUGGGGUUCCCCCCUGUGCUGCGACCCCACAGACGUAUGGACCUCAUCCUGUCCCUCAACUACUCCUGGGAGUCUGAUCCGUUUCUGGAGUUGAAGCAAACCCAGCAGCACUGCACUGAUCACAGGAUCCCGUUCCCUCACAUCGAUUUCAGCCGUGUGGAGAAAGAGCCCAUGAAGGAGGUGUACGUGUUUGAGGACGAGAAGAACCCAAAAGCUCCCAUUGUGGUUCACUUCCCUCUUGCCAACCUACCUUCAGAGAGUUCAAAGCCCCAGGUGUCAGGAGAGAAGGGGAGGAUGAACUGAGGAUGGGAGAGCUGGACGUGAGCAGCAGCGCCUCACCAUACAUCACCGAGAACCUGGCCUACCAGCCCGAGGACUUCCAGAGGCUGAUGGACCUCACUUGCUACAACGUCCUGAACAACCGCGACACCUUGCUGUCAGCUCUGCGCAGGGCGCUACAGAGAAUGAGAGUCCAUGAAGAUGAUGGAGAACACAAAGACCACUGCUGUCCCUGAAUAGAUCCCUCUAAUUAUCAAUUCAAUUCAAUUCAAUUCAAUUCAACUUUAUUUCGACAUGUAUAUUCUCCAUGCAGGCUAUAGCAUCACAAAUAGAACAACAAGACAACACAGAACAACAAUACAAGGACAGAUAGUACCAGUAUGAGCAAAAUAAUAAAUAAGAAUGGAGGUAGUGCAACAAUAGUAAUGUUAAAUAAAGU
ensembl:lncRNA